AUUGAACGCUGGCGGCAGGCCUAACACAUGCAAGUCGAGCGGAUGAAGGGAGCUUGCUCCUGGAUUCAGCGGCGGACGGGUGAGUAAUGCCCAUGAAUCUGCCUGGUAGUGGUGGAUAACGCCCCGAAACGGCCGCUAAUACCGCAGCCGACCGGAGGGACCAAGUGAGGGGUGUUCGGCCCCCACGCUAUCAGAUGAGCCUAGGUCGGAUUAGCUAGUGGGUGGGCUAAAGGCCUACCAAGUCGACGAUCCGUAACUGGUCUGAGAGGAUGAUCGGUCACACUGGAACUGAGACACGGUCCAGACUCCGACGGGAGGCAGCAGUAGGGAAUAUUGGACAAUGGGCGAAGGCCUGAUCCAGCCAUGCCGCGUGUGUGAAGAAGGUCUUCGGAUUGUAAAGCACUUGAAGUUGGGAGGAAGGGCAGUAAGUUAAUACCUUGCCGUUUUGACGUUACCAACAGAAUAAGCACCGGCUAACUUCGUG
rnacentral:rRNA from 1 species